rnacentral:ncRNA from 2 species
UGGUACGUUGCAGCAGCCAGUCAAACCCUUGAUCGGGUCAGGGAAUCCGGUGCGAAUCCGGAGCUGACGCGCAGCGGUGUGGGACUGGGGCGUGCACGAGGCCACUGGGGCGCAGCCCCCGGGAAGGCGCACCGCCCCCGCAGUCCCGAGUCCGAAGACCUGCUGGCGGCCGCGCCCGGAC